rnacentral:rRNA from 1 species
GAUGAACGCUGGCGGCGUGCCUAACACAUGCAAGUCGAACGGACAGGCGCGAGCUUGGUGGCGUGGAUGAGUGGCGAACGGGUGAGUAACACGUGUGCAACCCGCCCCUGACUCUGGGAUAAGCCCUGGAAACGGCGGCUCUUACUGGAUACGAUAUGUUGCCGCACGGGGACCAUCUGUAAAGUACUUCGGUUGGGGAUGGUCUCGCUGCCUAUCAGCUUGUUGGUGUGGUAAGGAAGGACCAAGCCUACGACGGGUAGCCGACCUGAGAGGCCUACCGGGCACACUGGGCCUGCGGCACGGCCCAGACUCCUACGGGAGGCAGCAGGGGGGAAUAUUGCACAAUGGGCGAGAGCCUGAUGCAGCGACGCCGGGUGAGGGAUGACGGCCUUCGGGUUGUGAACCUCUUUCAGCAGGGAAGAAGCGAAAGUGACGGUACCUGCAGAAGAAGCACCGGCUAACUACGUG